CGUAGGUGGCAAGCGUUGUCCGGAUUUAUUGGGUUUAAAGGGUGCGUAGGCGGUUCUUUAAGGCAGUUGUGAAAUACGGCAGCUCAACUGUCGAGGUGCAAUUGAUACUGGAGAACUUGAGUACUGAUGAGGUAAGCGGAAUGGACGGUGUAGCGGUGAAAUGCUUAGAUAUCGUCCAGAACACCGAUAGCGAAGGCAGCUUACUAAGGAGUAACUGACGCUGAGGCACGAAAGUGUGGGGAUCAAACAGGAUUAGAUACCCUGGUAGUCCACACUGUAAACGAUGAUCACUCGAUGUUGGCGAUACACGGCCAGCGUCUUAGCAAAAGCGAUAAGUGAUCCACCUGGGGAGUACGCCGGCAACGGUG
rnacentral:rRNA from 1 species